CAAUAGCGUAUAUUAAUGUUGUUGCAGUUAAAAAGCUCGUAGUUGGAUUUCUGGUGGAAGCGACCGGUCCGCCCCUCACGGGGUGUGCACUAGCGUCUGUCUUUUGCCAUCCUUGCGAAGAAGCGGUGUGGCAUUAAGUUGUCGCGCCGUCUGACUCGCAUCGUUUACUGUGAAAAAAUUAGAGUGUUUAAAGCAGGCAAUUGCUGUGAAUACAUUAGCAUGGAAUAAUAAGAUAAGACUUUGGUACUAUUUUGUUGGUUUGCAUAUCAAAGUAAUGAUUAACAGGGACAGUUGGGGGUAUUCGUAUUUCGUUGUCAGAGGUGAAAUUCUUGGAUUUAUGAAAGACGAACUACUGCGAAAGCAUUUACCAAGGAUGUUUUCAUUAA
rnacentral:rRNA from 1 species